rnacentral:rRNA from 1 species
UACGAAGGGGGCUAGCGUUGCUCGGAAUGACUGGGCGUAAAGGGCGCGUUAGGCGGUUUGUACAGUCAGAUGUGAAAUUCCUGGGCUUAACCUGGGGGCUGCAUUUGAUACGUGCAGACUUGAGUGAGGAAGAGGGUUGUGGAAUUCCCAGUGUAGAGGUGAAAUUCGUAGAUAUUGGGAAGAACACCGGUGGCGAAGGCGGCAACCUGGUCCUUGACU